UACGUAGGGGGGCUAGCGUUGUCCGGAUUUAUUGGGCGUAAAGAGCGUGUAGGCGGCCAUGUAGGUCCGGUGUGAAAACUCGAGGCUUAACCUCGAGAUGUCAUCGGAAACCAUUUGGCUAGAGUCCGGAAGAGGAGAGUGGAAUUCCUGGUGUAGCGGUGAAAUGCGCAGAUAUCAGGAGGAACACCGGUGGCGAAGGCGCCACUCUGGGCCGAAACUGACGCUGAGGAGCGAAAGCGUGGGUAGCAAACAGG
rnacentral:rRNA from 1 species